AAGCCGCUGGGCUCUGGCGCCUUGAGCAUCCGAGCAGGCCCUGCCCCCGCCGUAGGCGUGGGGACCUAGAGCUGCCCUCCGCUCCUUGCCCCCGGCCAGAGGCGGACACUCGGCGGUAGGAGCAGCUUCAGGGUCUGCCCUGCCCCCGCCCCGCGCGGAGAGCUGCUGCUGCCAGGAACAGCAAUAUUAAUAGGCUCCAGAGAUGCCUUGAAGCAAGGUGCAGAGACCAGACGCUUACUGCCUCUCUGCGUUUUGAAGUUAUCAUUGCCUCCCAUCUAUGAUUGCUCGAUGUACCAAGCUCCCAGAAGAACCAGGAACCAUGCCGAGCAAAGUUCACGCUGGGAGCUUUGACCGGUCUGCACGGACCGCUCAGGUGUCCUGGCCCUCCGGCUCACACCACACAUUGCCAUUUUGUUCCUUAGCCACCGUGACUUUGCCCACACUCCUCCUGGUCCUGCUCAGUUGUUUUUGAUGGCUAUUAGGGAAUCCAGUGAGCAGAGAAGGGUGGGGCAUUCCAAGAGGAGUCAGGAAAAUACAGCAGAGGUGCCUAGGCAGCAGGGGCCUCGGUGAUAUGGGAGAAGAACCAAGUUGGAGCUGUGCUGGGUCUGGGCUGGAUAAAGAUGUAUUUCCCAGGAGUGAGGGGACACUGAAGCAAUGGAGAGGCAUCUCGUGUGCUGUCUUCUGGGGAUAAGGAAUAGAUGGAGGACAAAGGCGACUAAGAAGGUGUCACAUUGUCCCCUAUACCUUUCUUCAUUCGAUUUCCAUAUCCCGGCAAGAACUGACCUGCCUCUAGACUUACCAAGCAGAACAGUCAUUGUUUGCUCAGUGAAUACACAGGCACUUCCAUCUUCCAAAGCCCUGACCUCUGGCUAAUGGACUAGUAUUGCCCUGUCAGCUACAACUGGAAGCGACCUGCGUCAUUUCUUUGUCACCUGGGUCAAAAGCAUAAGGGCUCUGUGACCUGUCUUCCAUGCCAGAGGCAGCCCCAAAUGUAACAAUCCCAGGAGAAAAAGAACCCUGGAGAGAUGUUCUACUGCCUCUGUAUCAAUCUUAGGGAAAAGUCCAGCUCGGCCCUCCUGGGAUCACAUGACUCUCUGUCCAGUCCUUUGGCUAAGAAAAGUGGAUCCUGAUGAUCCAACCACCACUGACGCAUCCUUUCCGGUAGCCAGAAAAUGUCACUGGACGUGGGUAGGAGUGAGCUGGCCAUUAGCACUGUAGCACCCAAUGGUCAUUUUUAUAGGAUGCCACCCACUGUCCCCUGAGACAAGACGAUCUUAGGAAGAACAUCGGAAGUCUAUGGUUUCCCCUUCUCUUGUGAAGUGGUGCUCUGAAGUUGUUAAUCAGACCACAGAAAAUGAUGUUGUUUGAAGGAUUUAAUAAAGCAAUGAAA